AUAAACAGUAAAAGAAGCGCAAGCAUUCAUUUCGAUGAUCAACUAGGAAUGCCUUGAAGAUCGACCGGUUGGUGACCACCGAGCUAGAGAAAGGUGUUGGAGGAGUAUGUGGUUUUGGACAGUCCAGAGAUGGAGCUGAGCCCUGAGGGCCCAUCUACCGGUGGUUAAUCGCCCCUUGAUUCAUCAUCUCUCCAGCCUGGUUCAUCACCUCUCCGGCCCCUCUCCCCAACGCCCAGGCCCUUCUUACCAACACCCAACCAGGCGCACCUGCCAUGCAACUCCAACAACCUCCACCCCAUCUCCCCGAUCCAGCUCCAAUGGCUGGAAGAGGAAGACAGCUGAGGAUCCUUCGGACACUGACAUGACGCAGCGGGUGGAUGACUUAAAGAAACUGCACCUGGAGUUACAGAAACAGCAGCAGUGUCCAGCAAAGGCCGUCUACGAUGUCAUGGUGCCAUGGAUGAUGUCUCUUCCUGCUGAUCAACGUCUCCUGUUUGUCUCACCCCUAAACCUGUUGUGUGCUUUUUUCUUAUUCAUACGUUAUGGUGGUGGGGGGGGGUUGCAUGUUUUUUUUGUACUUAU
ensembl:lncRNA